GACGAACGCUGGCGGCGUGCCUAAUACAUGCAAGUUGAGCGCUGAAGGUUGGUGCUUGUUCCUAUUGGCUGAGCAGCAAACGGGUGAGUAACGCGUGGGGAACCUGCCUUUUAGCGGGGGACAACAUUUGGAAACGAAUGCUAAUACCGCAUAAAAACUUUAAACACAAGUUUUAUGUUUGAAAGAUGCAAUUGCUUCACUCCAAGAUGAUCCUGCGUUGUAUUAGCUAGUUGGUGAGGUAACGGCUCACCAAGGCGACGAUACAUAGCCGACCUGAGAGGGUGAGCGGCGAAAGUGGGACUGAGACACGGCCCAAACGCCUACGGGAGGCAGCAGUAGGGAAUCUUCGGCAAUGGACGAAAGUCUGACCGAGCAACGCCGCGUGAGUGAAGAAGGGUGUCGGAUCGUAAAACUCUGUUGGUAGAGAAGAACGUGGGUGAGAGUGGAAAGCUCAUCAAGUGACGGUAACUACACAGAAAGGGACGGCUAACUACGUG
rnacentral:rRNA from 1 species